rnacentral:rRNA from 1 species
UACGAAGGGGGCUAGCGUUGUUCGGAAUUACUGGGCGUAAAGGGCGCGUAGGCGGCCCGUUUAGUCGGGUGUGAAAUCCCGGGGCUCAACCCCGGAACUGCAUUCGAUACUGGCGGGCUUGAGACCGGAAGAGGUGGGUGGAAUACCCAGUGUAGAGGUGAAAUUCGUAGAUAUUGGGUGGAACACCGGUGGCGAAGGCGGCUCACUGGUCCGGUUCUGACGCUGAGGCGCGAAAGCGUGGGAGCAACAGG